rnacentral:misc_RNA from 1 species
GCUCCGUAGGUGAACCUGCGGAGGGAUCAUUACAGAGUUCAUGCCCCAUCGGGUAGAUCUCCCACCCUAUGUUAUUAUUACUUUGUUGCUUUGGCGGGCCGUUAGGCUCCGGCCCGACCACCGGCCCCGGCUGGUAAGCGCCCGCCAGAGGACCCAAAACCCUGAAUAUUAGUGUCGUCUGAGUACUAUAUAAUAGUUAAAACUUUCAACAACGGAUCUCUUGGUUCUG